rnacentral:rRNA from 1 species
UGAGCAAUCUGCCCUUCUCUUCGGAAUAAGCGUUGGAAACGACGUCUAAUGCCGAAUACGACCUCCUUUCACAUGAUCGGAGGUGGAAAGCUCCGGCGGAGAAGGAUGAGCUCGCGGCCUAUCAGCUAGUUGGUGUGGGUAACGGCCCACCAAGGCGACGACGGGUAGCCGGCCUGAGAGGGUGACCGGCCACACUGGGACUGAGACACGGCCCAGACUCCUACGGGAGCAGCAGG